rnacentral:tRNA from 1 species
GCCGAUGUAGCUCAGUGGUAGAGCAGCGGUUUUGUAAACCGCUGGCCAGGAGUUCGAAUCUCCUCAUCGGCU